rnacentral:rRNA from 1 species
UUGGUGACAGCGGAGGGACAUUACUGAGUGUUACAACUCCCAAACCCUUUGUGAACACUACCAUUCGUUGCUUCGGCGGGACCGCCCCGGCGCCUCUGCGCGCCGGAACCAGGCGCCCGCCGGGGGCCCGAAACUCUUGUUUUGUCAGUGGUAUUUUCUCUGAGUGGCAUAAGCAAAUAAAUUAAAACUUUCAACAACGGAUCUCUUGGUUCUGGCAUCGAUGAAGAACGCAGCGAAAUGCGAUAAGUAAUGUGAAUUGCAGAAUUCAGUGAAUCAUCGAAUCUUUGAACGCACAUUGCGCCCGCCAGUACUCUGGCGGGCAUGCCUGUUCGAGCGUCAUUUCAACCCUCGGGCCCCGCAUUCGUGCGGCCCCGGCGUUGGGGACCGGCCUCCGCAUCGGACGGCCGCCCCCGAAACCCAGUGGCGGUCCCGCCGCGGCCUUCUCUGCGUAGUAGCAUACACCUCGCACUGGAGAGCGGCGCGGCCACGCCGUAAAAGAAACGAACUUUCUGAAGGUUGACCUCGGAUCAGGUAGGAAUACCCGCUGAACUUAAG